CCACCUCAUUCCAUCAUACCAAUCGCCUUCUUAGAGUUUAUCUGCACAUUCAAGCGGUGGGAUAUAUCUUUUUGAGUGAGAGAGAGCUUUAGAGUUCAAUCCACACCCUUUUUUUUUUUUCUUUUUCUAAUUUGAAAAAUUACACUAUAAUACAACCUAGAGGAAAGGUGAAAAUGAAAAUAAAAAUGAGAUUACAAUAAUAAUAUACAUGAUAUGGCUGUAUCUAAACAUUAGAACUGACUUGCAAAUUGCAAUAUCUAUUUGAAAUAAAAGAAUGUAGGACACUAACAUAAUUAUAAUCAAAUAGAUUAGUGUGAUGAGAUUGAGAUAGUGAGGUCUAAAUUGAGAGGACAAGACUGAGAUGAAGUUGAGGUAGUAAGUUCAUUGGGUUGUGCUAUUUCACUCAUAUUUAUAUUUGUCCAUCCAAAUUCAAUCUCACUUUCUUCUUCUUCCUCUUCUCUCUCAUCCAUGAUUUCCAUGCUUCCAUUUCCACCUUGCACCUUUAAAUAAUCAAACACACACAAUUAUAUAUGCACGUGGCUAUGGAUAAUAAAAACUUAUUUUAAAAUAUAUAUUUAUAUACAUAUAAAUAUGUGUGUGUGAUAUAUAUUAUUUAUAUAUAUAGGGGAUGACUAAAAUAAAAAUACUUCUUAAAAUAUAAAAUAUGAACCAUUUUUAGCCAUUAGAUCAUUAAGAUCUACAGUUGAUUCGUCAUCUUGUUUGAUGAAUUCAUGGUCCAGUAUUCGAAUAUCAUAGGUAGCAAAAAUUUAAUUUUAUAUAUUUCAAUAUAUA
rnacentral:lncRNA from 1 species